GGGUCGACUGCACGGAUGGCAAAAGCGCUCGCACUCUGUACAAGUACAGAUGGUUGUGUCCAAAAAAAGAAUACAGUAAACACACAAUUACUGAUUCAGCUCCUCUACUUUGUAAGUAAAAAUAAAAAAGUAAAAUUAGUCUCAAAUUACUUCCCACUAUUGCUAGCAUGAAUUAGGAGGGAAAGAAAUGGAGUGGAGUUGAUUAAGUUUGCCCAUUAUUAGGCAAAGGGGGUCUGGCGGGGUGGGUGUCUGUGGCGGCAGCCAUUUCCUGUAGCGCGCUAAUAAGGGAGUGGGCGGAGGUUACGACUGGUCAACAUUCUCAGUCCUACGCUCUAUUUCUGGAGAGCUUCCAUGAGAUGCUACAUCCAUUCACGAUUUCCAUUUCCAAACACAACUUUAUACCUCCAAAAUCUCUACAGGCAUUUUUUUUAACCAUAUCGCCACAUGUACUUAGGGCCUCCAGUUGUACUUGGGCACAACUACUAACAAACCUUCACAUGUCAUUUGACCAAGGCAGAUAUGUUGACAAAAGAAGGCAAAUGGCUUCAAUGAUAAUUUUCGGCUUUUGCCUCUACCAUCGUAGUUUGAUUGUGUGGCGUAUGAGUCGAGAAGAUGUUGAGUGAGGUAAAUUGCAACAUUUCAUCAGGUAAAUUGAUUUUAAAAUAUACCGGGUGGUAAUUGAAAGUGUGAACAUGAUUAGCAAAAGAGCUGGCAUAUCUCAUUGGCUUUUCUCUGACAUUAGCCAUUUGCUAGCAGGCGAGUAAUUACACUUUGCUCAAUUACUUAAAUAUAACACAUGCAAACAUUUAUAGUACAAACUAUGAUAAAAAAAAUCCUUCCGCAAACCUGUUGACCCAAGUCUUGUUCCCAAACUAUCACAAGACUGAUGAGUCAACAAUCGUGAUUAGGAAGUAGGUAAAGUUACAACUGUUCAGAAUCAAUAACUCAUUCCCCACUCGUGAAUCAUUGUCCUGUCGAAAGGAGUUUGAAUGGACUUUUUGGUGACAUGUUGACAGGAGGACAGGAUGGUAUGGAGGGGUGCGGCUAACAGCUAAUGUGAUUAGCGACAUUUCCGCCACGCGCCCAUUAGCCUGAUGAAGUUUGAUGAAGACUGAACGGUCAUUUUGUUUUGCACUGUCAUGCUAUCGCACAAUUAAGCUAUUAGCUCCUCAUACCAUAGAACGCUAACAUGUUUUGCUAUAUUACAUCAUUUUAUCAUCCAUACUGUCAUGCUAAUGUUACAAUAGCAAAA